rnacentral:rRNA from 1 species
UACGUAGGGUGCGAGCGUUAAUCGGAAUUACUGGGCGUAAAGCGUGCGCAGGCGGUUUUGUAAGCCAGAUGUGAAAGCCCCGGGCUUAACCUGGGAAUGGCGAUGGAGACUGCAAGGCUAGAGUUUGGCAGAGGGGGGUAGAAUUCCACGUGUAGCAGUGAAAUGCGUAGAGAUGUGGAGGAACACCGAUGGCGAAGGCAGCCCCCUGGGUCAAGACUGACGCUCAUGCACGAAAGCGUGGGGAGCAAACAGG